CCCCCCCCCCCCCGUCUACACCGGCUGCUUCAAGUUGCAACAGAUAAAACUGACAUUCUUGCUGUGCUGAAUCUGGGAGACUCUCACCGAUGAGAGUUUGGGCACCGGGUAAAGAGCUGCGCACACAGAAGGUGCUAGACCUGUGGCCAGGUUCGGCUACUAUUGCAUUUGCUCUAGCACACAGGAGCCCUGGAGCACCCAGUGCAUUCCUGCUCUCAUUUAAAUGAGUCUGGGGCUUGGUGUGUACUUGUUUUGUUUUUUCUUUGUAUUAUGGAAAUUUACCAGCACAUGCAAAAAUAGAGAAAGAUGUGCAUCAGCCAGCUUCAACAGUUCCACCGCUUGGUGAGCCUGCGUCUGUCCUUACCCUGCCUCCCUCUCCCCCAGGGCAUCUGCAUAUCCUUUCAUCUACCCUGAGGGUCUCUAAAGGAUGGGAACCCUUUGCAAACGUAACUACAGAACUCCCAGCAAGCAAAAGUUAAUAGUAAUUGCUUAGCAAAAUAAAGCACCGGCUGUAGUCAUCUCUUAGGCAGCUGAGUCCUGUUUAGCCAGUAGGAUGGGGGGCGGAGCUCCUGGGGGGGCUCAGCCUUCAGGACUGACUCCCUUUUGUCUGAUGCCAGACAUCACUGUGGCCUUAAGCACAGGGGAGAGACCUUUUGGGAAAGGAGAGAGGAAGCGCCCACAGGCCUCCAACGUGGGAGGGCCUCACACCUGGGUGGAGGGGCCAUCAGGGCAGGUCAGUCCCCACCCCCCGCCCGCCAGAGUGCCUCAAAAUCAGCCGUCCUGCUGUGCCUGGCUCCAAAAUGGGAGCAAACGAAGCGUGCUAGUUUAAGCCAUUAAGUUUGGAGUGGCAUUUUUGCACAACAGAGGAGCAGAAUUCAGCGUUCUUCCUCCAGUGGCUCGAAAUUAUACUUUUUUGGUUUGGAUUGGAGGGCCCCAGCAGUGAUACGUCUCUCAGUCAGAACGUCAUUCCUCCCUCUCCACGUUCUCUGGCUUUACAAUUUGUAUUGCCCAGAUGCUUUUAGGUGCCCACAAGGCACACACCACUGACAGCUCUCCUGUGGGGGUCAUUCCACGUUUCACCGCGUCCUGCCUUAGACCUGGAGGUUUGAUGCAACUCAGACUCGUGGCUUGUUUCUUGCCAAAUGAUGAUGGACAAACGUGGGUGGCUGGAGUGUCCUUUGUCUCUCGUCUGGGGUCUCCGGAGAGAGUGGAUUCAGCUGGGCCUGUGGUCCUUGGAGCCAGGAGGGCCCUGGUGACCGGGGCCUUGUGACCGGGGCCUUGUGACAGACGAACGGCUUGUGUCCUCAAGUUCUUCUGUUGAAAUCCUGACUCCUGCGGAGGAGACAGGUCCUGAUGGAGUUAGUGCCCUUACACAGGAGGCUGCAGAGCUACCCACCACUACCCCCUGCACGUGCGGACACAGCUGGAAGGUAGAGGCUGCCACCUGCACAGGUGCCUCCGAUGUGCAAACGUGCACACGAGUGAAGGCGUGGAAACGGCCCCAAGGAGGCUAAGUGCUUGCCAAAGUCACGCAGGGGAAGAGAGAAACCCACACAUCCUCAUGCCGGCACCAGGCAGGCUCUCACCCCUGGCCUGGUGGAGAGAGCGUGUGUCACACAUGUUCCUGUCAGGAUGAGUAAGUGGCCGGGGUGGUCAUGAAGGUCAUCUGCAGACAGGACAUGCAAACAGGAGUGGGAGGGCCUUCUCAGAAAAGAGAGAUGCAUGCUGUCACCAGGUGCACCAG